UCGCGGGGAAGUGUGGGCACCCAGAGAACGACGCACCAUGUAAUUUUGCAGGAUGUAUGGGCGUCGGCCGAAAUUGUAGGUCUCGCGAAUUUUGGCACCACUGAGCAUGUUCUUUCUGUCUGUGAUCUCGUUAAAGAAAAGUAGUGCGCGUCUUGUGUCGUUAAAAGUACAAAAACAAAAACACAUUAAAAGUACAAUGAUUAGUACAGUGUAAAUUAAAAUGCGGAAAAAUAGUACGCCAAAAAAAUCGUUAAAAGAACAACACAUUGUGAACGUUAAGCAGAACAAAACACAUUUAAAAGAAAAGGUCCAAGAGGGCCUUUUCUUGUUCGCAUGCUUUUUCUCCAGUAACAUCGUCCAGCUAGAACGCACAGCGGCACUAGAAACCCAAAUCCAGAAGCAGACAGAAGAGACCACAACCCUAACCUUGCUCGCCACUUCAAGGUUGUCGACGAAGCCCUCCCGGUGCUUGGUAAAAGCUGAGAUCAUCAACAACAAGUUCCAGGCUCUUCCGGGACGCCGGAAAGAGGCCUGCUGAAGCUAUCUUCGUCGUUGAAAACAACCCUAUCAACUUUCGAUGGAAUUCCGUCGACUCAACCUAGUUCUGGCUUACAAACAUCGUUCAACGGUUCCGCUGCAUGCUGCAGCUAAGUACGAAGAAGAAAACCGCAAGUAUGCUAAAAUGAAAAUGUGACGUCACCUUCCCAAAAAUUGUUUAAAAUAAACCCCAACAUUAUGUUUGUAUACAAAUUCAGGCUUUAGUAAUUUGCAAGAGAUAAUUGGUUGAUUUACACCUUUCUUAAAUUCAUAUUCGUUUUUCCAAUCAUUUGCUUAAAAGUUCACUUUCAUGAGAUUACAUGCUUUGCCCGCCUCGAUUUAAUGUUCAUUAAUAGUGUGGACUGGUUGCUAGCAUGCGAAGUAAUCACCCGUGUACGCCCCUGGUCGACUCGAUUCUAACUGGAUCACUCUGCUGCGAGUUCCGCGGAAAGGAAGUGUCGCGUUGCAUCAUCAAAACGACCCUGAGUUCCCAUUUGUUUACCUUUCCCAAAUCCCCACCCACUGAGCUAACUCCGUGUUACAAUUGGCGCCCGCAAAAAAAUUUAGCAACGGUACAUUUCCCCAAAAUCCCGGAGGGAGGAAUAGUAACAGUUCCUGUUAGGCUAUUGAAUCGUUCUUCUAACGAUCGUGAAUCUGAUAACAGAGAGUUUUGAGUUGGUAUUUUGUGAAAAGACUUAUAUCACGUCAUACAAAUAUGUU